rnacentral:tRNA from 1 species
GCCAGCGUAGCUCAGCGGUAGAGCAGUUGUUUCGUAAACAACCGGCCGUCGGUUCGAUUCCGACCGCUGGCUCCA